ACCCGCUGAGUUUAAGCAU
rnacentral:snRNA from 1 species